rnacentral:rRNA from 1 species
GACGAACGCUGGCGGCGUGCUUAACACAUGCAAGUCGAACGGAAAGGCCCUGCUUUUGUGGGGUGCUCGAGUGGCGAACGGGUGAGUAACACGUGAGUAACCUGCCCUUGACUUUGGGAUAACUUCAGGAAACUGGGGCUAAUACCGGAUAGGAGCUCCUGCUGCAUGGGGGGGGUUGGAAAGUUUCGGCGGUUGGGGAUGGACUCGCGGCUUAUCAGCUUGUUGGUGGGGUAGUGGCUUACCAAGGCUUUGACGGGUAGCCGGCCUGAGAGGGUGAACGGCCACAAUGGGACUGAGAUACGGCGCAGACUCCUACGGGAGGCAGCAGUGGGGAAUAUUGCACAAUGGGCGGAAGCCUGAUGCAGCAACGCCGCGUGCGGGAUGACGGCCUUCGGGUUGUAAACCGCUUUCGCCUGUGACGAAGCGUGAGUGACGGUAAUGGGUAAAGAAGCACCGGCUAACUACGUG